rnacentral:lncRNA from 1 species
CGCAGGCCUUGAGUGCGAACGAGCAAGUGAGGGCGUCGGGCUUGUGCGGCGCACGUGACAUGACGCGGAAGCACGUCACGGAGGCGGAGGGUUGGCGGCUGUGGGCGAGGCCCCGGACGACGGCGUUCCAUUCGUUGGGUGUCGGGGCGGGAAUGCGUUCGGGGAAGGACGGGGCGUCUGCGUAGUAGGCUGCUGCGGCUUGCGCAGAGCUCCAGGACUUGGAGGCUGGAGGGGCAGAAUCGGAAAGGCCGGUGGUUGUGAGUGGUCGUGGAUUUUUUGAUGUGUAAGAGAGAAAGAGACUGAAGGUGCUUUCUGUAACAGUGUGUCGAAACGUCGACGAAGGCCAUGCAACGCGAACAGGUUUCAUGACUGUUUUUCAUUCUUUCAGUGACAGAAGUGUCACCGGAAAUUAUCAAAUACACAUCCGACUUUUCAAAAAAACUAGUGAAUUGUCCCCCGUUUCAUAUCGUGCAUUCUACUUAGAAAGAAAUUAUAUUUUUAGAGUGUACUUAUUAAAAUUUUAUAAUUUUAAAAACAGAUUACGAUAUAAGGUCAGAUAAAAAAAAUAUGAUAAAAUUUAUUAUAAAUUUUUUUCCACUUUUAGUUUUUUUUAAAAGAACAAAAUCUAUGGAUCAAAUUUUAAUAUUUUUUUUAAAAUUUCGAUGGGCUGAUAUUAAUAUGUUUCGUUAUUUGAAAUUAAAAUUAAAAUUUUUCCCCCCCCCCCUUGAAAAUUAAUAAUGUUUUUUUUAGUAGUUUGGUUUAUCAUAAAAAUUAUAAGAAAAAUAAUAAAUUUUAACGUAUCAAUACAGUAGUAAAUUCGAAUAUAUAAGAAAUAAUUUCUAAUCACUAUCUCCUCUAAAAAGAAAUUAAUACAUUUUUUUAUAUUUUUUUAUAUAAAAAUUCAAAGUGAAAGAGAAGAAAAAGAAUCAGGGGUAUUAAAAAAAACCCCAAAUAACAAAUAACAUAUUACUAUCCCCACGAAAUUUAAAAAAAUAUUAAAAAAUCUUAUUCAUAUUUUUUUUUAUUUUAUAAAAAACAUAAGGUGAUAGUAAAAGAAUUAUAAAAUUUUAUCAUAAUUUUUUAAAUUUAAAUUUAAAGGGUAAAAAGAAAAAAUAAAAGAACAAGGGAUAUUAAAAAAAAGAAUAUAAAACUUUAAAAUUUUUUUAUAAAUUUUUAAUACCAAAAAAAAUUAUCUAAACAUUUUAAAUUAAAUACAAAAAAAUAAUAAAAGAAUAUUAAAAAAAUUAUAAAGUGGUUAAUAUUAAAGUGAUGUAUUCUCGAUAAUGAUAGUUUAUGAUGGAGGAAAAAGUGAAAGUGAUGGAAGGAGAGAGAGUGAAAGUGAUAGUUUUUAGGCUGGAAACAUAAUCUGAGGUAAAAUCUAGCCGUUGGAAUCACUUCAAUGAAUUGAACCGGUAGAUAGCAAGAGAUGAUUGAAUUCAAACUAAAUAUGUUGUGUUUUGGCAUCUAUUUUAAUUAUAUUAAUUUAUUUUUUAUCAUGAUACAAUUCAUGAUAUCGGUUAUAAUUGAUUUUUUUAUAAAAGGUUUUUAAAUGUGUCACGUUAUAAUCUAUAUGUAUAUAUUAUAUUAUGCGUAUGUAACGCGUGUUUAGAGUGUAUGUAUGCUUAGGUCCGUGGCAAUUGAAUGUUUUGUUCUGUUUCAAACUUUCUUUUCAAUCUGUUUUCUUUGUGUGUUCUGGUGCCGAAAAAAUCCUAGUGUAUUAGGACUGAACGAGUUUUUUUUUUUCCUCUCUCUCUUGGGUUUUAAUUUUAGGGUUUAGUCUGGGCUUAAACAAUAGAAUGAUUAGAAAUGGAUUUGGUUUUUUUGUUAAGAUGGAGUAUUGGUGAAUCACUUGGUACUCUGUUUUAACGUUCUUGUGUUUUGGGGGCUAAACUGGAAAGUUUUGAGUUUAAGGAGUUUAUAUUCUCUGUGAAUUUUGCUUCUUCUUUUGACAUGUUGUAAUUUGUGAAGGUGCUGUGAUGGUGGUUAUCUAUGAUUAUAAAAUCAACACAGCACACAAACACAUACUCAUUGGACUCGCUCAUUUUAAUACACCAAAUUCCUCUUAUCAAGAAGAACAAAAUAAUAAUAAAAUUUUAAUCAAACGAUUAAAAAUAUUCACUAAAAACAAAAUACUCGGAAACCAAAAUAGCUCAAUUAGUUUAAAAAAACAAAACUAGCCCGAAAUGGACCUAAAGAUUAAAUAAAAAUAAAUAAAUAAAAGUCAAAGUAUCUAAAAUAAAGCUAGUCCAAAUUGCGGUAUUUAGCAUGUGCAUGAAUUUCAUGAGGACAAUCCUCAAUCAUGUGCACAAAGAAAACAACCUCAUUUGGCACAAAUAUUAUCAAUCACCACGCUUAUAAACGGUGCGAUUGAUCAUGAAUUAGUCGGCUUAGUGGCUUGACUAUGAAAAAAAAAAUGAAUAUGAUAAGUUUAAUAAUUAUUUAAUCAAUUGAAUGUGACCGAGAAAUUUCUCGCCGUCCAAAAGGUCAAAACUAUUACUGC